rnacentral:lncRNA from 1 species
GCUCUGUUGUCCAGGCUGGAGUGUAGUGGUGCCAUCACAGCUGACUGCAGCCUCAACCUCCCAGGUUCAAGUGAUCCUCCCACCUCAGCCUCCUAAGUGGCUGAGACUAUAGGUGCUUGGUACUGUGCCCAACUAAUAUUUGGACUUUUCCUAUAUGUGGGUUCCAGAGGGCUGACUGUGAAAUAUGGGACCAUCUUGUUGCAGGAAAAUAAGCUUAACAUGUCCACUGAUUCUACAUUAUGGCUGGAGUGCAGUGACGUGAUUACAGCUUGCUGCAGCUUCAAAUUCCU